UACGUAGGGGGCAAGCGUUAUCCGGAUUUACUGGGUGUAAAGGGAGCGUAGGUGGAUUGUUAAGUCAGUUGUGAAAGUUUGCGGCUCAACCGUAAAAUUGCAGUUGAAACUGGCAGUCUUGAGUACAGUAGAGGUAGGCGGAAUUCGUGGUGUAGCGGUGAAAUGCAUAGAUAUCACGAAGAACUCCGAUUGCGAAGGCAGCUUACCAGUCUGCGACUGACGCUCAGGCACGAAAGUGUGGGUAUCGAACAGG
rnacentral:rRNA from 1 species